CCGGCGAGGGGAGUGAAAAAGAACCUGAAACCGUGUACGUACAAGCAGUGGGAGCACGCUUCGGCGUGUGACUGCGUACCUUUUGUAUAAUGGGUCAGCGACUUAUAUUCUGUAGCAAGGUUAACCGAAUAGGGGAGCCGAAGGGAAACCGAGUCUUAACUGGGCGUUAAGUUGCAGGGUAUAGACCCGAAACCCGGUGAUCUAGCCAUGGGCAGGUUGAAGGUUGGGUAACACUAACUGGAGGACCGAACCGACUAAUGUUGAAAAAUUAGCGGAUGACUUGUGGCUGGGGGUGAAAGGCCAAUCAAACCGGGAGAUAGCUGGUUCUCCCCGAAAGCUAUUUAGGUAGCGCCUCGUGAAUUCAUCUCCGGGGGUAGAGCACUGUUUCGGCAAGGGGGUCAUCCCGACUUACCAACCCGAUGCAAACUGCGAAUACCGGAGAAUGUUAUCACGGGAGACACACGGCGGGUGCUAACGUCCGUCGUGAAGAGGGAAACAACCCAGACCGCCAGCUAAGGUCCCAAAGUCAUGGUUAAGUGGGAAACGAUGUGGGAAGGCCCAGACAGCCAGGAUGUUGGCUUAGAAGCAGCCAUCAUUUAAAGAAAGCGUAAUAGCUCACUGGUCGAGUCGGCCUGCGCGGAAGAUGUAACGGGGCUAAACCAUGCACCGAAGCUGCGGCAGCGACGCUUAUGCGUUGUUGGGUAGGGGAGCGUUCUGUAAGCCUGCGAAGGUGUACUGUGAGGUAUGCUGGAGGUAUCAGAAGUGCGAAUGCUGACAUAAGUAACGAUAAAGCGGGUGAAAAGCCCGCUCGCCGGAAGACCAAGGGUUCCUGUCCAACGUUAAUCGGGGCAGGGUGAGUCGACCCCUAAGGCGAGGCCGAAAGGCGUAGUCGAUGGGAAACAGGUUAAUAUUCCUGUACUUGGUGUUACUGCGAAGGGGGGACGGAGAAGGCUAUGUUGGCCGGGCGACGGUUGUCCCGGUUUAAGCGUGUAGGCUGGUUUUCCAGGCAAAUCCGGAAAAUCAAGGCUGAGGCGUGAUGACGAGGCACUACGGUGCUGAAGCAACAAAUGCCCUGCUUCCAGGAAAAGCCUCUAAGCAUCAGGUAACAUCAAAUCGUACCCCAAACCGACACAGGUGGUCAGGUAGAGAAUACCAAGGCGCUUGAGAGAACUCGGGUGAAGGAACUAGGCAAAAUGGUGCCGUAACUUCGGGAGAAGG
rnacentral:rRNA from 1 species